UACGUAGGGUGCGAGCGUUAAUCGGAAUUACUGGGCGUAAAGCGUGCGCAGGCGGUUCGUCAAGUCUUGUGUGAAAGCCCCGGGCUCAACCUGGGAAUGGCAUGGGAAACUGGCGAGCUGGAGUGCGGCAGAGGGGGUGGAAUUCCGCGUGUAGCAGUGAAAUGCGUAGAGAUGCGGAGGAACACCGAUGGCGAAGGCAGCCCCUGGGUCGACACUGACGCUCAGGCACGAAGCGUGGGAGCAAACAGG
rnacentral:rRNA from 1 species